rnacentral:rRNA from 1 species
GAUGAACGCUGGCGGCGUGCUUAACACAUGCAAGUCGAACGGUGAACACGGAGCUUGCUCUGUGGGAUCAGUGGCGAACGGGUGAGUAACACGUGAGCAACCUGCCCCUGACUCUGGGAUAAGCGCUGGAAACGGCGUCUAAUACUGGAUAUGUGACGUGACCGCAUGGUCUGCGUUUGGAAAGAUUUUUCGGUUGGGGAUGGGCUCGCGGCCUAUCAGCUUGUUGGUGAGGUAAUGGCUCACCAAGGCGUCGACGGGUAGCCGGCCUGAGAGGGUGACCGGCCCCGCUGGGCUUGGGCCACGGCCCAGACUCCUACGGGAGGCAGCAGUGGGGAAUAUUGCACAAUGGGCGAAAGCCUGAUGCAGCAACGCCGCGUGGGGGAUGACGGCCUUCGGGUUGUAAACCUUUUUUAGCAGGGAAGAAGCGAAAGUGACGGUACCUGCAGAAAAAGCGCCGGCUAACUACGUG